CAAGUGGUAAAAAUAAUGAGACUUUUCCCUCAAUGGAACAAACCUCAGAAGCAGAAAAAGGUCUUCUCUCUUUCUCUCUCCUUUUCCCUCAAGCUCAGAAUCUCCCGAACGAAAGUUGAAUUUUGGUGCAUAUUUUACAAAUUAAGAAUCUUGUUAAAAAGAAGAAGGAUGUCAAGCGGAGCAACACACUGGUGUCAUGCAUGCAGACAGCCAGUUGUGCUUGAUGGGAGAGAUGCUGUUUGCCCUUACUGCGAUGGAGGAUUUGUACAAGAACUUGAUGAGUUGGAAGGAAUUGCACCCCACCAUACCUUUUGCUCACAAUCAGGAGAGUUCCAUCAAAUGCCUGACAUUUUCGAUGCUAUACCUGCUUUUAUGGGACAGAGGGGUUCUGACCAGAGAUCCAGGCUUAUGGAUGAUGCUGUUGAUAAUUUCAUGAGGCAUAGAACGGCUGGAAGAAACUCAAACUUUGAUGUUAGAGGGAGAUCUGGCUCUCGCCCAGUUCCUGAACGGAGUUGGGGCGUUUUUAGUUCUGGUCCUUAUUUAAUAUUUCAUGGUCAAGUUCCCGGAUCCACCUUCGCUGCUGGCAGCCCAAGAGGUGGUUCUAGGCAUGUUGAUUUUGGUGACUACUUUAUGGGUCUUGGACUGGAAGAACUUAUUGAGCAACUCACCAUGAAUGAUCGGCGUGGUCCACCCCCGGCCGCACUAUCUUCAAUUGAUGCAAUGCCUACUAUUAAGAUAACACAGGCGCAUCUUCGCUUGGAUUCACACUGUCCAGUUUGUAAAGAAAAAUUUGAAUUGGGCACUGAAGCCAGAGAAAUGCCAUGCAACCAUAUUUACCAUUCUGACUGUAUUGUUCCUUGGUUGGUUCAGCAUAACUCAUGUCCUGUUUGCCGUGUUGAGCUGCCACCUCAAGGACAGGCUAGUUCCCGGGGUACUCAAAAUUGGGGAGGAAGGAAUGACAGCAACACCAGCAGCAGUGGCAGCAAUGAUAGCUCCAGGGGUAGAGAGAACAGCCGUCAGAACCAUGGAAGGAGAAAUCCAUCAUCUUUUUUGUGGCCAUUCCGCUCAUCUAACUCAAACAAUAAUCAUCAUUCUGAUACUGGGGGAAGCAGCUCUUCAAACCACUCCUGACCAGAAUAAUGGAACAAGUUACAGCGGUUGGCCCUUUGAUUGCUAAAAAUAUCUUUUCUUCUCCUGGAUAAGUACAAUUUGCUGUCUAAUAAUGCUUGUAAUUUAAAAUGCCAAGGAAAGAAUUUAUUAUAUUAAUUUUGUAUUUUAAACUUAAGCUCAUGUAAGGAAGAUAGAAGUUUCUUAAAAUCUUUGUACAUGAAAUUGCAUGGUUAGUUGAAUCUCUUUGAAACUUGAAUGCCUCACCUGUCAUUGUUCAAUUU